rnacentral:SRP_RNA from 2 species
GCCAGGUGUGGUGGCUCACACCUGUAAUCCCAGCACUUUGGGAGGCCGAGGUGGGUGGGUCACCUUAGGUCAGGAGUUUGAGACCAGCCUGACCAAUAUGGUGAAACCCCAUCUCUA